GAUGAACGCUGGCGGCGUGCCUAAUACAUGCAAGUCGAGCGAACGGACGAGAAGCUUGCUUCUCUGAUGUUAGCGGCGGACGGGUGAGUAACACGUGGAUAACCUACCUAUAAGACUGGGAUAACUUCGGGAAACCGGAGCUAAUACCGGAUAAUAUUUUGAACCGCAUGGUUCAAAUGUGAAAGACGGUCUUGCUGUCACUUAUAGAUGGAUCCGCGCUGCAUUAGCUAGUUGGUAAGGUAACGGCUUACCAAGGCAACGAUGCAUAGCCGACCUGAGAGGGUGAUCGGCCACACUGGAACUGAGACACGGUCCAGACUCCUACGGGAGGCAGCAGUAGGGAAUCUUCCGCAAUGGGCGAAAGCCUGACGGAGCAACGCCGCGUGAGUGAUGAAGGUCUUCGGAUCGUAAAACUCUGUUAUUAGGGAAGAACAUAUGUGUAAGUAACUGUGCACAUCUUGACGGUACCUAAUCAGAAAGCCACGGCUAACUACGUG
rnacentral:rRNA from 1 species